rnacentral:rRNA from 1 species
UACAGAGGGGGCAAGCGUUGUUCGGAAUUACUGGGCGUAAAGGGCGCGUAGGCGGCCUGCUAAGUCGAACGUGAAAUCCCCGAGCUCAACUCGGGAACUGCGUCCGAUACUGGCAGGCUUGAAUCCGGGAGAGGGAUGCGGAAUUCCAGGUGUAGCAGUGAAAUGCGUAGAUAUCUGGAGGAACACCGGUGGCGAAGGCGGCAUCCUGGACCAACACUGACGCUGAGGAGCGAAAGCCAGGGGAGCAAACGGG